rnacentral:rRNA from 1 species
CCUACGGGAGGCAGCAGUGAGGAAUAUUGGUCAAUGGACGAGAGUCUGAACCAGCCAAGUAGCGUGAAGGAUGACUGCCCUAUGGGUUGUCAACUUCUUUUAUAAAGGAAUAAAACGAGGCACGUGUGCCUUUUUGCAUGUACUUUAUGAAUAAGGAUCGGCUAACUCCGUGCCAGCAGCCGCGGUAAUACGGAGGAUCCGAGCGUUAUCCGGAUUUAUUGGGUUUAAAGGGAGCGUAGAUGGGUUGUUAAGUCAGUUGUAAAAGUUUGCGGCUCAACCGUAAAAUUGCAAUUGAUACUGGCAGUCUUGAGUACAGUUGAGGUAGGCGGAAUUCGUGGUGUAGCGGUGAGAUGCUUAGAUAUCACGAAGAACCCCGAUUGCGAAGGCAGCUUACUAAACUGUGACUGACAUUGAUGCUCGAAAGUGUGGGUAUCAAACAGGAUUAGAUACCCCUGUAGUC